GAUGAACGCUGGCGGCGUGCUUAAUACAUGCAAGUCGAGCGAAGCGGGGACGGGUGAGUAACACGUGGAUAACCUCCUAUAAGACUGGGAUAACUUCGGGAAACCGGAGUUAAACCGGAUACUUAUAGAUGGAUCCGCGCUGCAUUAGCUAGUUGGUGAGGUAACGGCUUACCAAGGCAACGAUGCAUGGCCGACCGGAGAGAGGAAUCGGCCACACUGGAACUGAAACACGGUCAGGACUCCAAGGGAAGGAGGCAGUGGGAAAUCUUCCGAAAGGAGGGAAGGCCGAACGGGGCAAGCCCGCGUAAGUAAGGAGGGUCUUCGGAUCUAAAGACUCUGUUAUUGGGAAGGCGGUACCGAAUCAGAAAGCCACGGCUAACUACGUGCCAGCAGCCGCGGUAAUAC
rnacentral:rRNA from 1 species